UUAUCCUACGGGACGCAGCAGUCGGGAAUAUUGCGCAAUGGAGGAAACUCUGACGCAGUGACGCCGCGUAUAGGAAGAAGGUCUUCGGAUUGUAAACUAUUGUCGUUAGGGAAGAAAAAGGACAGUACCUAAGGAGGAAGCUCCGGCUAACUACGUGCCAGCAGCCGCGGUAAUACGUAGGGAGCAAGCGUUAUCCGGAUUUAUUGGGUGUAAAGGGUGCGUAGACGGGAUAAUAAGUUAGUUGUGAAAUCCCUCGGCUCAACUGAGGAACUGCAACUAAAACUGUUAUUCUUGAGUGUUGGAGA
rnacentral:rRNA from 1 species